rnacentral:lncRNA from 1 species
CAAGCCCCUUCCCUCCAUACCUGUUCCCACUCCCUAAUCACCUCCCCUCUGCAUUUGUCUCUCCUGUUUCCCCAUAAUAGCAGCAUAUCAAUCCUACGUGCAUGAUAUGAUGAUACCACCACUUCCUUCUUACCACCACACGGCUCUAUUUCCAUGUUUACGGCUUGUUUACGGAAGCGUCUUUGAAUGAUCGUGUGAAACGGAUGGACGGCAGAAAAUAGUUGAAACUGAGAAGUACUGUUGGCUGCAACUGUGUUAAAGGGAAAUAAAUAAAAAUAACGUCUACUUCAUAUCUAUCAUCUCCAGCACCACCCCCAACAAUCUCAAUUG